rnacentral:lncRNA from 1 species
GUGAUAUAGUAAGCAAUGAUGACAUCUACAGUGUAAUGUUCAUGAGCAACAAGGAUACAAAUUAUGCCAGCAGCACUCAUCAGCCAGCAGAUUAAGUGAUACCACCAGAAAUGACGUGGUGAAUACUCUUUGAUGAACAGGUAGAUCAGUGUUAGUACUACAGUGUGACCACUGAACAGGAAGUCUCCACACAAGAUGUGAGAUCCAGUUAUGGACAGG